rnacentral:rRNA from 1 species
GACGAACGCUGGCGGCGUGCUUAACACAUGCAAGUCGAACGAUAAAGCCCAGCUUGCUGGGUGGAUUAGUGGCGAACGGGUGAGUAACACGUGGGCAACCUGCCCCAAACUCUGGGAUAACUCCUCGAAAGAGGUGCUAAUACCGGAUACGAACUAGACAGACAUCUGUACUAGUUGGAACGUUUCUCGGUUUGGGAUGGGCCCGCGGCCUAUCAGCUAGUUGGUGAGGUAACGGCUCACCAAGGCUACGAAGGGUAACCGGCCUGAGAGGGCGACCGGUAACACUGGGACUGAGACACGGCCCAGACUCCUACGGGAGGCAGCAGUGGGGAAUAUUGCGCAAUGGGCGAAAGCCUGACGCAGCGACGCCGCGUGAGGGAUGAAGGUCUUCGGAUCGUAAACCUCUUUCAGUAGGGACGAAGCGAAAGUGACGGUACCUAAAGAAGAAGCACCGGCUAACUACGUGCCAGCAGCCGCCGUAA